CUGAGCCAUUGGCCUAGUUUGGUCUGUGACCAAAGCGGAGGACCCAUCUUUGGGGCAAACCUUGCAGCUGCAAGGAGGCGAACUCUCACGCCUAGCCCGUCAGCUAACUUCGUCGGCCUUGGGAGGAGAUGCA
rnacentral:sRNA from 2 species